rnacentral:lncRNA from 1 species
AAGCACUGCAGAAGACUACCAGUAGUAUUUUUUUUAGACUGCUGAGUAGGUAUGAAUUGUAGGUAGGUAGGUAGGGUGUGCAAGCUUUUUUUCAGCCUAAGUUUAACGCAACAGCUGUGUUGUAUUAGCUUUGCUCUGUAGGCACCUGUGAGCUGCUGGGAGGUGCUGUGAAGCUGUGGCACUGCCUUAGAGGUGCAAGAAGGGCAUGCUUUGUGGUAUGAGUCUGUUUCUCUUCUUCAGGUUUGCAAUGUGAGUUGGCAUGUCCCAUCUGCAAGUUCCCCCCAGGCAACACUGAGCUUAAUCACAAGUGGAAAAGGGCCAGUUGUUUAGUAAACAAACAAACAGAGUUUUGGACAGGAACUGGAGAGCGCUGCUGCUGUAAGUAUUCACCCUUUUAUUUAUAACAUGCAUCCUCUGAGGAGAUUCAGGAGAACUGGUGAACUUUAGUUGGGUCACUGAAAGUGUCAGACUCCAGCAUAGAGAAAGAAGAUCACUUUUGGCUCAGAGGAGCUGGUUGCACGGCUGGUUUAGCAGCC